AAAUCGCACAUUGUGGUUCAGGUCCCAAGACCCACGGUGACUGUUGUGGAUGUGGCUUGCUCACCCAUUCCAUUCAGUGAGUCUGAUUCAGAGAGUGAGAGUGGUGCACGGACACCACAAGUUCUUGCCAAACCAGUUAGUGCCAAAUCUAACAAAGUGCCCCAGGUGACACUUGAGCCAUUGCAGGUAGCUCCAAGUGAUUCCAGAUUAUCAAACAGUGUCCAGAGCAAUGGUUUCAGAUCUGACCGAUCUCACACACGUGUUAGUGUUCAGCCAAAGUAUUUUACAAAUCCACCAGACAGAGACAAGUCUACCAUGUGCAAACAACCUUCAACAACUGUGAUACAAUUAAGUAAGUCCACUGCAGACAACUUUACAUUACCUAGAGAAAACACGAAUUUUACCAGCAAACAAAUUGAUUUAACAGAUGUGGAGUAUGCAAGAGCAGUAAACUCUUCUAAAUCAACUGAAAAACUGUACUGGAUAAAUAAAUUGAAUGAAAGUCGUGAAAGGGAAUUUUUAGGCCGUUUACAGAAUGGAAAUACUCAACUACGAACUGUUACCCAAGACAGCAAUGGAAGUCGCAGCACAUUCCGGUCUGGUCGUAUGAGUGAUACUGCUGUAGUAAAUUUGUAUUGCUAUGAAAAUGUCAUGGAUGGGACUCCUGCUAAAUGGAACCGUAGCACUGAAAGUUCUCUGGGGGAUUAUGGACGCCAGUUUGGUAACGGAGAUAUUCUAGAGGAAGCAAGGCGGGCAGCCAGGUUACCUCCUAAAAGGAACACACCUAGUCGUAGUAUACCCAGCAAAAAGUCCACUGAUGCCAAUUUUGUUCUUCAGAUUUCGCGCACAGAUACGGUAAUUGGUCCAUUAAGUGUUCCAAAGAAGAAUCUUACUCCACGUUUGAACCCGAUGGAACGUUAUGCAAGUGUUCAUAACCCUUCGUCCAGCUCUAGUAAAUUCCAGGAAAAAAAGGCCAAGUUUGGUUUAAAAACGCCGCGAAACGUUAGUAUUCCCGACACUAGAAGUAAUAUGAAGCAAGAACUGGAAGAAAUGUGCAUAAAGGGGGCAACAGGUCCCAAAAAAGCCAUGUUUUCUAGUGCCACCUCAUGGAAGAACAAAGGAGAUCUAGCUCGUAUUAACAAUCUUAAGAAUGACAAUAUGAAAGCAAAAACUAGUCUAACAUUUUCUCCGGACGUGAUAAAUGGAGAGAAACGUGAAAAGAAUUUAAAAGUGAACGGACACGAUAAAGAGAAUGACACCUCAAAAGUCCCCUCUUUUGAUCAGGAAAAUGGGGAAGAAGGGGAAGAAGAAGAGGAUGGGAACUCGUAUGUUGUAGAGGAGACCAUGUCUGAUAAUGGGAGAAAGUCGGUAACUCAGGCGAGCUAGAGCAUGGAUCGGAGUCCUUUACGGGAAGUCCGAGCCCGCUCAGCUUGUGCCCGGAGUGCGUCGACUCGCUUUACUCUACUAGACAAACAGCUGCAGAAACUAACACUGUUGUCUUGCAAUAAAACACUAGGCCAUUUCUGAGCUUCAUAUUUGGACAUUUAUGACAUAUUUGUUGGAUUGAUGCUUGUUAUUUAUAUAUUAAUAGCUAUGGUGUUAUGUUUUUAAAGAUUGUUUUGUUUGUUGUGGCUAUGUCACUAAUUUAUGUCAGAGUGUAUACAUAACUAAUGUAACUUUUAAUUUGGAAUCAAGCUAUUUAUUAAAUAACAUGAGUAAACCAAU
rnacentral:misc_RNA from 1 species